rnacentral:misc_RNA from 1 species
GCUUUAUCAGGCCUAUAUUGCACCCAUCAAGACAUCUCACCUGAAUAUGCAAGCAUUCUUCUGGGCAUUACCAACACUGUUGGUGCAGUUCCUGGAAUAGUAGGCGUUGCUCUAACUGGUUAUCUUCUUGAUUCAACUCACUCAUGGAGUAUUUCUUUGUUUGCACCAUCGAUUUUCUUCUACCUCACUGGAACCAUCGUGUGGCUGGCAUUCGCAAGCAGUAAGCCACAGAGCUUCUCAGAGGGAGAUUGACUGACCUUAUUAUUCAGCGUCGAGUCAAUCAG